rnacentral:rRNA from 1 species
CCUACGGGGGGCUGCAGUGGGGGAUAUUGCACAAUGGGGGAAACCCUGAUGCAGCGACGCCGCGUGUGGGAAGACGGUCCUCUGGAUUUUAAACCACUGUCCCCAGGGACGAAGAUGACGGUACCUGGGGAGGAAGCUCCGGCUAACGACGUGCCAGCAGCCGCGGUAAUCCGUAGGGGGCGACAGUUGUCAGGAAUUACUGGCUGUAAGGGGAGGGUAGGCGGGGAUGCAAGUUGGGUGUCAAAACUACCGGCUCAACUUGUCGUCGCACUCAAAACUGCAGCUCUUGAGUGAAGUAGAGGCAGGUGGAAUUCCUAGUGUAGCGGUGAAAUGCGUAGAUAUUAGGAGGAACACUAGUGGCGAAGGCGGCCUGCUGGGCUUUUACUGACGCUGAGGCUCGAAAGUGUGGGGAGCAAACAGGAUUAGAUACCCUAGUAGUC